GACGAACGCUGGCGGCGUGCUUAACACAUGCAAGUCGAACGGUGAAGGGGUCUGCUUUUGUGGGCCCUGGAUGAGUGGCGAACGGGUGAGUAACACGUGAGUAACCUGCCCCCUUCUUCUGGAUAACCGCAUGAAAGUGUGGCUAAUACGGGAUAUUCUGGGUCUGUCGCAUGAUGGGUCUGGGAAAGAUUGCGCCUUUGGGUGUUUUUGGUGGGGGAUGGGCUCGCGGCCUAUCAGCUUGUUGGUGGGGUGAUGGCCUACCAAGGCGGUGACGGGUAGCCGGCCUGAGAGGGUGGACGGUCACACUGGGACUGAGACACGGCCCAGACUCCUACGGGAGGCAGCAGUGGGGAAUAUUGCACAAUGGGCGCAAGCCUGAUGCAGCGACGCCGCGUGAGGGAUGGAGGCCUUCGGGUUGUAAACCUCUUUCGCCAGUGAAGCAGGCCUGCUCCUUGUGGGUGGGUUGACGGUAGCUGGAUAAGAAGCGCCGGCUAACUACGUG
rnacentral:rRNA from 1 species